GACGUAGGGCGCGAGCGUUGUCCGGAUUUAUUGGGCGUAAAGAGCUCGUAGGCGGUUUGUCGCGUCUGCUGUGAAAACUCAGGGCUUAACUCUGAGCUUGCAGUGGGUACGGGCAGACUUGAGUGCGGUAGGGGGAGACUGGAAUUCCCUGGUGGUAGCGGUGAAAUGCGCAGAUAUCAGGAGGAACACCGGUGGCGAAGGCGGGUCUCUGGGCCGUAACUGACGCUGAGGAGCGAAAGCAUGGGGAG
rnacentral:rRNA from 1 species